UUGAUUACAAAAAUGUUGGAGGUAUGCCCUAGAGGCAAUCAUAGAGAUGAUGAUAUUCCAUUUGUAUCCAUGAUUUAUAUUGUGUUUCUUGAAUAUCAAUUAAAGGCUACUUGAAUUGAUUUGCAAUUAUGUGAAUUGUGUGUGAAGCUCUUUUCUUGUAUGGUUAUUCUAAAGUUGUCCCUAGUCGGAGUUCAUGUGAGGACACACAUGAAUAUUAGACUAGCACAUGUAUUAGUUGAUGACUAUGUUUCACAAGUCAUAGACAUGGAGAUGUUGAACUAAUAACGUGGGCACAUGUGGAGACAUGUGCUAGGACUGACCCAACACGAGAAGUAGUUCUCUCUUUAAACAACAUAUACGCUUUGUCCUUAGACCUGAGAUUGUCGCAUGUAUUCAAGAUGUGGAUCGACCUACUUAGGGGCUAUCAAACGUUACGUUGUAAUAGGGUAGUUAUAAAGGUAACUUUCGGGUUUGUCAAGAAGCAUGCUGUGAAACAUGGUCAAUCAAGAUGGGAUUUGCCCCUCUCUGAUUGAGAGUGAUAUCUCUGGGCCCCUCGAGUGAUCGGAUCCAAAAAUGCAUGGCCAUGCUACGUACGGUUAAGAGUUGACCUACAAUGGGAUUCCGAAUCACAGGAUCGAGAAAGAGCGGUCGGCUUCAAGCUAGACCAAAUAUCGUGAGGCAAAGUGAAUAGCAUGUAUCUAAUGUUGUGAUGGUUCGUCUGAUAUGAUCUUCGUGUGCAUAUAGGAGUUGGCACGUCUUGCUAGAGGCUGCUACCGACUAUUGGGCCGAGUAGGAGUAAUCGGGCCAUGUCUAUAUGUAUCCGAACCCAUAGGGUCACACACUUAAGGGGUUGGAAGCCCAAUUCAGAUGUGAUCCGAGUUGGAUUAUGUUUAGAAGUACUAAUGGGCCUCGGACCCAGAGGCCCGUUAGGAACCUCUAUAAAUAGAGGGGUGGGGGCGCCCUAGGGUUUACACCUUUUGGAAAACACAUCUGUCGCGCCUCCCACGCCCUUGCCUGUUGCAACUCACGGGUCUAGCAGUCCGGCUUGCAACGCUUCCUCCCUGCACGUGUGGAUACCUUGGAGGUGUUGCGCCUGCAGCACUUGGACGAGCCGCCGACGAGCCACGACGAGCCGCGGCACGAGGACGAUCUUGCUGCACGUGGACGAGCUACUGAGGAGCUGCUGGACGUCGACGUGAUCGACUACGUACGACUACGUUGAUCGACUUCGCUGCAUCGAUGCGAAUCUACAUCUUCCGCACCAGUAGUGCGUAGAGUGGUAAUCCCGUGAUCCUUAUACGGCAGUUUUCCUGGUUUACGCGGUAGAAAUUUUUGAUUUGCGCUAGUGCAGCCUACCUCGUAUCCCAACAGUGGUAUCAGAGCCGUAGCUGUUUAGUUUUGGAUUCGGGAUGUGUGCAUAUGGAGAUAUGCGAGUUUUCAGUUUGAUCUAUGUCCUAGUUUCAUGUUUUUGCUGCAAUGGUAGUAUAACGACAUACUCCUACCGGUCGGUUUCCGCCAUCGGAGUUAAGUGAUACACGUAAUUCCAGUUGCAGUGAGCGAAGAUCAAUGUGAUUGGUCGAAUCGAAAUCCAGGUUCAUACGCCAGGCGCAUGAGAUGUGCAAUAGUAGAUGGGAUCUACUACCGGGGUCGGGAUUUUGCCGUGUGCGUAUGCUUCGGUAAAUCAGCCGUAACUUUUCGGUACGAUCUCGGAUUGGGGCGAAUUUUAUAUGAAAUUUGAUCUACAGAAAAAGUUACACAUGAAAUUCAACCGCUUUGCCGUUUUUGGCAAAAUUAGAUUUCCCAAAUUUGGCUUGGAAGAUAGAGUUUCGGGCAUCCGAAGUUUGGAACGUUAGGACGCUUAACUCUAUUUUGCAGGAUGUAUGUAUGUAUCUUGUGAUCAGUAUGGCCCCUUUGUGUAUGUGAUGCAUGUGUGUAACUCAUUCGUGACCUACGUGUCGCGCGUACGGCAACAUGGCAGGAGCCAUAUGUGUUGUCACCUAAAUGUAUUUAAUGGUCUGCAUACCAAUCUGUGAUGAUCCAAGCAACUAUGUAAUCUUCAUUACUAGCUUCUUUACUAGCUAUUAGGCGUAAUAGCAUGUUCUAGUUCUUGGAGGACUCAUCACCAGGAGGAUGGCGCACAUGGAACAUGGAGAUGGAGAUCACCAUGGUGAACAGUUUCUAUGGAGAUGGAGAUCACCAUAUGAAAACGGGUCAUACUGUGUCACAACUGUGUGAAUGCUAUUCUGUUUAUGUUUUACUUUCUGCAUGCUGUGAUGUUAGAAGUAGAAUGAUCCCUCACAAAGUUUAAGUUAGUAUGCCCUCCCAACUAAAACUUGCACCGUCCCAUGUCUUGUACAAUUAGUGGUGGGUCUAUGAAAUUAGGGUGCCACUAGUUUUCCUUGAUUAGACGGGUUUGUGUCGGACACUUACACGCAUAAGGGUUGGUUUGCUUAACAAGGUUAACUUAACGGUUAAGGACCUUGGGGCAUAAAGGUUGGGCGCCGAGACAUGGAGAUGUCAACCAACAAUAGGAGUCAUAUGUGAUAUGAUUAGCAAAAGUUGCUUACCAAUCUACCUUAUUUGCUAGCGGUGAUGCUAAAGCUCACUAGUAGACUUGUUAGUUGUGGAUCCUGAAUCACUAAGUAUCAAUAGAGGGAUAUUUAUUUUAGUGGGAGUAGAUUCUGUUAAAAUAGUUUAAUGUGAUUUGCUCUAUCAUGGAUACGUUUGUCUUAGUGUAUUUUGCAUUACUUUUGUUGUAGAUUAAAUGGCACCUAGCAACACCACACCGUUUGCUUUGCGUUCGGUCCUUGAGAAGGACAAGUUGAAUGGAACAAACUACUCAGAUUGGAUCCGUAACCUGAGAAUCGUUCUCAGGGCCGAUAAAAAGGAAGAUGUUCUAGACACCCCACUAUCACCAGUACCUGCUGAUGAUGCAUCUGCUGCCGUUAAGGCUGCUUACAAGAAGGCAUUUGAUGCUAAUCUUGAGGUAAGCUGCCUUAUGUUUGCUUGCAUGGAACCCGAGCUGCAGAUGCAGUUCGAAACAAAUCAUGAGGCACACGAUAUGAUCGUGGCACUCAAGGACAUGUUCCAGACACAGGCUAGGACUGAAAGGUUCAAUGUGUCCAAAGCCUUUCUGGAGUGCAAGCUAGCAGAAGGCGCAGUAGUAGGACCACAUGUAAUCAAGAUGGUUGGUUACACUCAGCGAUUGGAGAAGCUGGGCUUCCCAAUGGGCAAAGAGUUGGCCAUUGACUUCAUUCUUUUAUCUCUUCUGCCUAGCUAUGGGAACUUCAUCUCGAACUACCAUAUGCAUGGGACGGAAAAGGGUCUGAAUGAACUGUGUGGUAUGCUCGAGACAGCAGAGGUAGACAUUAAGAAAAGCGCUAGUACCAGCCAUGUGAUGGCUGUACAGAACAAGCCUACCUUCAAGAAGAAGGGCAAUUCUUGGAAGAAGAAGGGAAGGCUGGAGUGUCCAAGCCAAACCCAGCACCCAAGGCUAAAGCUGGACCUGCUCCAAAUAAAGAGUGCUUUUAUUGUCACGAACCUGGUCACUGGAAGAGAAACUGCAAGCAGUACCUAGCUUCAUUGAAGAAUGGCGGAAGUAAGAGUACUUCUACCUCAGGUACGCUUGUUGUUAAUGUUAUAGACAACAUUUUUCUCGCUGAUACAAUUAUUAAUUCUUGGGUAUUUGAUACCGGAUCGGUUGCUCAUAUUUGCAAUUCGAUGCAGGGAAUGAUAAGAAGUAGAAGCGUGGAAAGAGGAGAAGUUGAUUUCCGCGUGGGCAAUAAUGCAAGAGUUGCUGCGUUGACCGUCGGGACGAUGCAACUUCACCUCCCGUCAGGAUUUAUUAUGGAGUUGAAUAAUUGUUAUUUCGUUCCUAGUUUAAGUCGAAACAUUUUGUCUCCUUCAUGCUUGAUGAAGGAUGAUUAUUCAUUUGCGAGUGAAAACAAUGGUUGUGUGAUCUCUAAGAAUGAUAUGUUUAUGGCUUUUGCACCUAUUGUGAAUGAAUUAUUUGUUUUAAAUCUUGAUGGUUCACCUGUCUAUAACGUAAGUGCUAAAAGGUCUCGGCCUAAUGAUUUGAGUCCUACCUACUUGUGGAAUUGUCGUUUGGGUCAUAUAAGUGAAAAGCGCAUGAAGAAGCUCCAUUCUGAUGGACUUCUAACUUCGUUUGAUUUUGAAUCAUACGAGACAUGUGAGGCUUGCUUUCUAGGCAAGAUGACCAAGACGCCUUUCACAGGAUUUCCUGAGAGAGCAGUAGACUUGUUGGAACUCGUAUAUAGCGAUGUAUGCGGACCAAUGAGCACGACGGCUAGAGGAGGAUUCCAAUACUUCAUAACUUUCACUGAUGAUUUUAGUAGAUAUGGCUAUGUCUACUUGAUGAGGCACAAGUCUGAAACCUUUGAAAAGUUUAAGGAAUUUCAGAAUGAAGAUGAAAAUCAACGCGGCAAGAAAAUUAAGGCCUUACGAUGUGAUUGUGGAGGCGAGUAUUUGAGCCACGAGUUUAGCAAUCAUCUAAAGAGUUGCAGAAUUGUUCCAAAACUUACGCCGCCUGGAACACCUCAGAGAAACGGUGUAUCCGAGCGACGUAAUCGAACUUUGUUAGACAUGGUUCGAUCAAUGAUGAGCCAGUCGGACCUACCGUUGUCAUUUUGGGGAUACGCUCUAGAAACAGCAGCUUUCACACUUAAUAGGGUACCAUCUAAAUCUGUAGUUAAGACACCAUAUGAGAUGUGGACUGGAAAGGUUCCCAGUUUGUAUUUUCUAAAGAUUUGGGAUGUGAAGUGUUUGUCAAGCGACUUCAGUCGGACAAGAUCACACCCAAGUCGGAUAAGUGCAUUUUCGUGGGAUAUCCAAAGGAAACUUUGGGAUAUUAUUUCUACAACCGGUCAGAGGGCAAAGUGUUUGUCACUCAGAAUGGGGUUUUCCUAGAGAAAGAGUUUCUCAAAGGAGAAAAGAGUGGAAAGACAGUGCAUCUUGAAGAAGUUCAAGAUGAGCCGAUUGGGCAAGAAUCAAUGAGUGAUGCUAAUGUAGCAGAACAAGUUGAGAUACCCAUGGCAAGAGAAGCACCGCCACAACCACGAAGGUUGGCAAGGCUCCGCGAAAUGCGGGAAAUAUUAUUGUUGGACAAUGAUGAGCCUGCGACAUAUGCAGAAGCAAUGAUGGACCCAGACUCCGAAAAAUGGCAAAGUGCCAUGCAAUCCGAAAUAGAGUCCAUGGGAGACAAUCAAGUUUGGAACUUGGUUGACCCGCCUGAUGGUGUUAAAGCCAUAGAGUGCAAGUGGAUCUAUAAGAAGAAAAAGGAUAUGGAUGGAAAUGUUCACAUCUAUAAAGCACAACUUGUCGCAAAAGGUUUUCGACAAGUUCAAGGAGUUGACUACGACGAGACCUUCUCGCCCGUAGUGAUGCUUAAGUCCAUUCGGAUUAUUCUAGCUAUAGCUGCAUAUUUCGAUUAUGAGAUAUGACAGAUGGAUGUCAAGACAGCUUUCCUGAAUGGAAACCUAGCUGAGGACGUGUAUAUGAUACAGCCUGAGGGUUUUGUCGAUCCGAAAAAUGCUGGAAAGGUAUGCAAGCUUCAAAGAUCUAUUUAUGGAUUGAAGCAAACAUCUAGGAGUUGGAACAUUCGUUUUGAUGAAGUGGUCAAAGGGUUUGACUUCACCAAGAACGAAGAAGAGUCUUGUGUUUACAAGAAGGUUAGUGGGAGCUCUGUAGUAUUUCUAAUCUUAUAUGUGGAUGACAUAUUACUGAUUGGAAAUAAUAUUCCUAUGCUUGAGUCCGUAAAGACUUCACUAAAAAAAUAGUUUUUCGAUGAAGAACUUAGGGGAAGCGGCAUAUAUUCUGGGCAUUAAGAUCUAUAGAGAUAGAUCGAGAAGGCUUAUAGGUUUAAGCCAAGAUACUUACAUUGACAAAGUGUUGAAGCGGUUCAGCAUGGAAGAGGCAAAGAAAGGGUUCUUGCCCAUGUCACAUGGCAUACAUCUCAGCAAGACUCAGUGUCCUUCGACUGCUGAUGAGUGGGAUCGCAUGAGUAGAGUGCCAUAUGCCUCGGCUAUUGGAUCUAUCAUGUAUGCAAUGAUAAGUACUCGCCCAGAUGUUUCAUAUGCGCUAAGUAUGACAAGCAGACACCAGUCUGAUCCAGGUGGGAGUCACUGGACAACGGUGAAAAACAUUCUUAAGUACUUGAGAAGGACUAAAGAUAUGUUCCUCGUCUAUGGAGGUGAGGAGGAGCUCGUUGUAACGGGUUACACCGAUGCUAGUUUCCAAACCGACAGAGAUGAUUCAAAGUCACAAUCAGGAUUUGUGUUCACGCUAAAUGGUGGUGCUGUUAGUUGGAAGAGUUCCAAGCAGGAGACGGUGGCCGAUUCUACGACAGAAGCCGAGUACAUCGCGGCUUCGGAAGCCGCGAAGGAAGGUAUUUGGAUAAGUAAUUUCCUCAUUGAGCUUGGUGUGUUCCCGAAUGCGUCCAGCCCAUGGAAUCUCUACUGUGAUAACAAUGGGGCAAUUGCGCAAGCAAAGGAGCCAAGGAACCACCAGAAGAACAAACACGUAAUGCGGCGAUUUCAUCUCAUUUGAGACUUCGUUAACUGGGGUGAGAUCAAGAUAUGCAAAAUACACACGGAUCUGAACAUUUCUGAUCCGUUGACAAAACCACUCCCGCAGGCUAAGCAUGAUGUGCAUGUAAGAGCUAUGGGUAUUAGGUACCUUCUAGAUUGACUCUAGUGCAAGUGGGAGACUGUUGGAGGUAUGCCCUAGAGGCAAUCAUAGAGAUGAUGAUAUUCCAUUUGUAUCCAUGAUUUAUAUUGUGUUUCUUGAAUAUCAAUUAAAGGCUACUUGAAUUGAUUUGCAAUUAUGUGAAUUGUGUGUGAAACUCUUUUCUUGUAUGGUUAUUCUAAAGUUGUCCCUAGUCAGAGUUCAUGUGAGGACACAUAUGAAUAUUAGACUAGCACAUG
rnacentral:lncRNA from 1 species